AUUAGUUCCUGGUAAUCUGAUUUAAUAUAAACAACUGUGCAAAAUGUUUCAGUGAAGUAAAUUAUUGUCCAUGUGGUUAAUACUGAAAACCGACCGUGCACGUCACAUCACUUUUUACUAUGUUUGUGCUGCGCCAGACAUCAGCUGAAAAGGAACAGAUUUAAUAAAUGACAAAAGGAUGGGGGGAAAAAACAGACAGGUGAUUUA